GCCAAGAUGGCGGAACUGGUAUACGCGUGGGUCUCAAAAACCCAUGGAGGCAACUCCUUGAGGGUUCGAUUCCCUCUCUUGGCA
rnacentral:tRNA from 2 species